GACGAGGCCGAAGGGCGUAGUCGAUGCAAAGCCGGUUAAUAUUCCGGCACCACUAGAAACCGUUAAUCUGAUAGGAUAACCCAGGUAGCCAAGGUCGGGGAAGGCGUUAGCUGCCUCCUCCAAAUGCAAACGCCGUUGAAGGCUGGUGAAAACAGCCCGAGGCCGAAGCAUGAGUGCGAUCCGAGUGAAAUCGGAGAAGCGAUCACAGCUAAACUGGCAAGAAAAGUCCUGCAGGUAGGCCAAUAGUGCCCGUACCCCAAACUGACACUGGUAUGCGAGGCGAGUAGCCUAAGGGGCUCGAGAUAACUCUCGUGAAGGAACUCGGCAAAUUUCUCCGUAACUUCGGGAGAAGGAGCGCCUGCGUAGGGGUGUUAAAGCCCUGAAAGGCAGCAUAAAAAUGGUCCCUGGAACUGUUUAUCAAAAACACAGGACUGCGCAAAGUCUGAAAGACGACGUAUGCAGUCUGACGCCUGCUCUGUGCCGGAAGGUUAAGGGAAUUUGUCAGGGGGUUCGCCUCCAAAGCAAAGAACCGAAGCCCCGGUUAACGGCGGCCGUAACAAUGACGGUCCUAAGGUAGCAAAAUUCCUUGUCGGGUAAGUUCCGACCUGCAUGAAUGGCGUAAUAACAGGGGUACUGUCUCCACGAGAGGCUCGGCGAAACUGUAGCAGUGGUGAAGAUGCCACUUACCCGCGACUAGACGGAAAGACCCUGUGGACCUUUACUGUACUCUACUAUUGGGUUUUUGUGCUCAUUGCGUAGGAUAGGUGGGAGACGUUGAAGUUCCGGUUUUGGCCGGAAUGGAGUCACCGGUGAAAUACCACCCUUUGUGUACGAAAAUUCUAACUCCGAUCCCGUAAGCCGGGCGGAGGACCGUGGUAGACGGGCAGUUUGACUGGGGCGGUCCCCUCCCAAAGAGUAACGGAGGGGCUCUAAGGCAUGCUCAGCACGGUUGGCAAUCGUGCGUCGAGUGCAAUGGCAUAAGCAUGCUUAACUGCGAGAGAAAAACCUCAAGCAGAGACGAAAGUCGGACAUAGUGAUCCGGCGGUGCAGUGUGGAAUGGCCGUCGCUCAACUGAUAAAAGGUACCCCGGGGAUAACAGGCUGAUCUCCCCCAAGAGUCCAUAUCGACGGGGAGGUUUGGCACCUCGAUGUCGACUCAUCGCAUCCUGGGGCUGCAAUCGGUCCCAAGGGUUGGGCUGUUCGCCCAUUAAAGCGGUACGUGAGUUGGGUUCAGACCGACGUGAGUCAGGUCGGUCCCUAUCUGUCGUGGGCGCAGGAAUUUUGAGGAAAAACAACUCUAGUACGAGAGGAUUGAGUUGUACACACCCCUGGUGUUCCAGUUGUGCUGCUAAGCACACCGCUGGGUAGCUAUGUGUGGACCGGAUAAACGCUGAAAGCAUAUAAGCGUGAAGCCUCUUCCAAGACUUGAAUUCCCCAUCAGACUUCUGGUAGACUACCAGAUUGAUAGGCCGGAUGUGUAAGCUGGGUAACCAGUAAGCUUACCGGUACUAAUUGUCGAUCGACUUGACCGC
rnacentral:rRNA from 1 species